GCAAGUAAUCGCGGAUCAGGAUGCCGCGGUGAAUACGUUCCCGGGUCUUGUACACACCGCCCGUCACACCAUGGGAGCCAGGAAUGCCCGAAGUCUGUGGCCGAACCCCUUCUGGGGGCGGGGCAGCCGAAGGCAGGCCGGGUGACUGGGGUGAAGUCGUAACAAGGUACC
rnacentral:rRNA from 1 species